GACGAACGCUGGCGGCGUGCUUAACACAUGCAAGUCGAACGGAAAGGCCCUGCUCUUGUGGGGUGCUCGAGUGGCGAACGGGUGAGUAACACGUGAGUAACCUGCCCUUGACUUUGGGAUAACUUCAGGAAACUGGGGCUAAUACCGGAUAGGAGCUCUUGCUGCAUGGUGGGGGUUGGAAAGUUUCGGCGGUUGGGGAUGGACUCGCGGCUUAUCGGCUUGUUGGUGGGGUAGUGGCUUACCAAGGCUUUGACGGGUAGCCGGCAUGAGAGGGGGACCGGCCACAUGAGGCCUGCGGUAGGCAGCAGAAGCCAAUGUGACGCAGCAGGCGAGAGUAUUGCGGAAUGGGGCGACGCCUGAGAUAGCGACGUCGGGUGCGGAAUGCCGGCCUACGGGUGGUGAACAACUUUCGACUGUGACGUGGAGUGAGUGACGGUAAUGAGUAAAAAAGCACCGGCUAACUACGUG
rnacentral:rRNA from 1 species